UAGUGAUCAGCAGUGCAGCGCGGCAGUCCUGUACCGUGGGACAGAUUGUUAACCUGGUGUCGGCAGACACUCAGAGCUCAUGGAACAUGGUGGUCUAUUUCAACUGCUGUGUGGGUGGCUCCCAUUGAGAUAGCUCUCUGUCUCUUCUCCCUGUGGCAGCUUCUGGGUCCGUCAGCCCUAGCCGGCAUCGCCACGGUGAUCCUUAUCUUUCCUCUCAACGGCUUCAUCGCCAAGAAUGAGGAGCAAGCUGCAGGAGGUCCAGAUGCGGUACACAGACAGCAGGAUCAAGCUGAUGAAUGAGAUCCUGAGUGGGAUUAAGAUCCUGAAGUUCUACGCCUGGGAACAGGCCUUCCUGGAGAGGGUUCUGGGUUACCGGGAGAAAGAACUCAAUGCCCUGAAGAGAUCCCAGGUCCUCUACUCCAUCUCCAUCGCCUCCUUCAWCUCCUCAUCC